CAGGGAUAGACUGGGUUUCAGGGAAGAAGAGCACACACCUAAAAGUCUCAUUCCUAGCACAACACAUCAAAGUGCCCAAGGUCUUGGUCCCUGAAGAUCAGCUGAACCCUGAAAAGGUUUGCUAUGAGAAUGAAAAGAACAAAUGCACAUGAAAAAGCCCCAUUAUGCUCAUAGUGAGAGCACAUUGAGUACUGGCUGUUGGUCUCCUGUGCCAAACAUUGUGUUACUCAUGUGGUACACAGUAUCUCAUUGCAUCCUCACAACAACAAUGCCACAGUGUGUAUGCAUGGCCAUCUCCA